rnacentral:lncRNA from 1 species
GAUUCAAACUCGGGUUCUCUGCGAUAGAAUAUGCUCCUAACCACUGGGCCAUCCUUCCUGGGCCCGGUAAUACUUUUAAAACGCUGUUUCCAAAUUGUUCAUCAUUCACUUAUUCCUUUAAUCACUUAAAAUACUUUCCUCUCAGGAAAUUAUGUCAGUGCUAUUGUAAGUGGCCACUAAGUGUUGCUAUACAUCAAAAGCAAAUGAAAACAUGGGCAGCUAUGGAAGAUUCCAGAAUUUUUCCUGUCAGUGCCUCUGAAGUCUCAAAAUCUAGGAGCCAUAUUUUAAGAACAUUUUAUUAUUGAGAUAAACUCAUACUCAUAAACUCAAAACCAUAACUUGUAAAAAGUAUUAAAUUUCAUAGCUUUUAGUAUAUUUACAGGUUUUGAAGUCAUUACCAUAAUAUUUCAAUUUUGUUCAUUACCCCCAAAAUAAACCUAUGCACAUUUCCUUCUACGAA